UUUGACUAUAUGUCUUAUUUGAAAUUUUUUACGAUUAAUAUUUUUAUUAUUACUAGAUAAUAAAACAUAAAUAGUACUUUAUGCGUGACUAUUUUCUUAAACUUUUUAUAAAUUUUUUAAAUAAGACGAAUGGUCAGA
rnacentral:pre_miRNA from 1 species